GAUGAACGCUGGCGGCGUGCCUAAUACAUGCAAGUCGAGCGAACAGACGAGGAGCUUGCUCCUCUGACGUUAGCGGCGGACGGGUGAGUAACACGUGGAUAACCUACCUAUAAGACUGGGAUAACUUCGGGAAACCGGAGCUAAUACCGGAUAAUAUAUUGAACCGCAUGGUUCAAUAGUGAAAGACGGUUUUGCUGUCACUUAUAGAUGGAUCCGCGCCGCAUUAGCUAGUUGGUAAGGUAACGGCUUACCAAGGCGACGAUGCGUAGCCGACCUGAGAGGGGGAUCGCCCACACUGGAACUGAGACACGGUCCAACCCCCUAGGGGAGGCAGCAGGAGGGAAUCUGCCGAAAGGGGGGAAAGCCUAACGGAGCAACGCCGGGGGAGUGAUGAAGGUCUUCGGAUCGUAAAACUCUGUUAUUAGGGAAAAAAAAAUGUGAAAGUAACUAUGCACGUCUUGAGGGUACCAAAACAGAAAGCCGCGGCUAACUACGU
rnacentral:rRNA from 1 species